rnacentral:lncRNA from 1 species
GAAUGAAGGAGGGAGACUAAAAAGGUUACUAUGGUCUCUUUUAGAUCUCAACAACCAGGAUUUCCCUUUAUAACCUUCCUUCUUCUUAUCUUUCAUUCUGUCUCAUCUCUCUUAUGUAGAUAUAGGAAUUUAGCAUUUUUUUAAGGAAAAAAGGGAAGAAACUUGACAGUCCAAUGGAGAAAAAAGAAAAGCAGAGAGAGAAACAGAGACAGAUAUAUAUUGUUUGUCCUUCAUUUUGAAGCAAGCCAGUGACCUCUUGAGGUGAUGUGUUGACGUGAAGGAGAUUAGAUUUAAGUAAGGCAGACUUGCUCAGUCAUCAACCUCUCUCCCCCAGAGCCACCAAAGUCCAGAGGAAAGACAAAAGUCAGCAUAAAUGGAGAUGUCCCAGGAUGCAGGGGAAGACUUCUUCCAUUGGCUUCUUCCAUUCCUGACCAAGCCAUAGGUGCUCCACAGUGCCAGCAUCAGCUCCCUUCAGAGUCGCUGAAAGAAAUUGUUCUUAUUCACCCAUUCUGCUAGGGGAAGUUUCACAUGCCUGGAGAGGACAUCCCCUAAAUCACUGACAGGUCUGAGAUCUGUCAGUUACCCUCAUCCUCAUUUAGUCCUACUGUGGAGAUGGUUUUACUGGGGGUGGCUGCUGCUCCUGCUACAGCUUCUUGGAGCCACAGGUAAGAAGAUGAACAAUGAGGAAGAGUUGUUGAAUGAGCCUAAUAAAGAAAAUCAACUUAAACUGAUUGCUCUGAGCCCAUGGAAAAUUGGACAUUUCCAGAAGAAAUGUGUAAAAGGUUUUUGUUGAUUUAAAUGAGGAAAAUGUAUGACAAUUGUUCUCCCUAAGCCUAUCAAAGAUGAACAAAAUAAAUAGCAAAGAAAAGACA